rnacentral:rRNA from 1 species
CCUGAACGCUGGCGGCGUGGCUAAGACAUGCAAGUCGCACGGACCCGCAAGGGUUAGNGGCGAACGGGUGAGUAAUGAAUCGCUAAUGUACCCCGGACUCUGGGAUAGCCGGCCGAAAGGCCGGGUAAUACCAGAUGAUAUAACCGCUCCGCAUGGAGUGGUUCUCAAAGGUCCGCCGGUCUGGGAGCAGGCGAUUUCGUAUCAGCUAGUUGGUGAGGUAACGGCUCACCAAGGCGACGACGCGUAGCCGGACUGAGAGGGCGACCGGCCACACUGGGACUGAGACACGGCCCAGACUCCUACGGGAGGCAGCAGUGGGGAAUAUUGCACAAUGGGCGAAAGCCUGAUGCAGCGACGCCGCGUGAGGGAUGACGGCCU